CAUGUGUAGGAUAGGUGGGAGGCUAUGAAGACGUGACGCCAGUUGCGUUGGAGCCGUCCUUGAAAUACCACCCUUGUAUGUUUGAUGUUCUAACUUAGACCCGUUAUCCGGGUUGAGGACAGUGCCUGGUGGGUAGUUUGACUGGGGCGGUCUCCUCCCAAAGAGUAACGGAGGAGCACGAAGGUGGGCUAAUCACGGUUGGACAUCGUGA
rnacentral:rRNA from 1 species